rnacentral:rRNA from 1 species
CUACGGGAGGCAGCAGCGGGGAAUAUUGGACAAUGGGCGAAAGCCUGAUCCAGCAAUGCCGCGUGGGUGAAGAAGGUCUUCGGAUUGUAAAGCCCUUUCGGCGGGGACGAUGAUGACGGUACCCGCAGAAGAAACCCCGGCUAACUCCGUGCCAGCAGCCGCGGUAAUACGGAGGGGGUUAGCGUUGUUCGGAAUGACUGGGCGUAAAGCGCGCGUAGGCGGAUCGCAAAGUUGGGGGUGAAAGCCCAGGGCUCAACCCUGGAAUUGCCUUCAAGACUCGCGGUCUGGAGUUCGAGAGAGGUGGGUGGAAUUCCGAGUGUAGAGGUGAAAUUCGUAGAUAUUCGGAGGAACACCAGUGGCGAAGGCGGCCCACUGGCUCGACACUGACGCUGAGGCGCGAAAGCGCGGGGAGCAAACAGGAUUAGAUACCCUGGUAGUCCGCGCCGUAAACGAUGAAUGCCAGACGUCGGGGGGCUUGCCCUUCGGUGUCACACCUAACGGAUUAAGCAUUCCGCCUGGGGAGUACGGCCGCAAGGUUAAAACUCAAAGGAAUUGACGGA